rnacentral:rRNA from 1 species
AGAGUUUGAUCCUGGCUCAGGACGAACGCUGGCGGUGUGCUUCACACAUGCAAGUCGAACGAGGUAGCAAUACCUAGUGGCGGACGGGUGAGUAACGCGUGGGAAUCUGCCCUUGGGUAGGGGAUAGCAGGCCGAAAGGCCUAUUAAUACCGUAUAUGCCGUGAGGUAAAAGGAGUAAUCCGCCCGAGGAUGAGCCUGCGUCCGAUUAGCUAGUUGGUGGGGUAAAAGCCUACCAAGGCUACGAUCGGUAGCUGAUCUGAGAGGAUGAUCAGCCACAAUGGGACUGAGACACGGCCCAUACUCCUACGGGAGGCAGCAGUGGGGAAUUUUACGCAAUGGGGGAAACCCUGACGUAGCGACACCGCGUGAGCGAAGAAGCCUUUUGGGGUGUAAAGCUCUGUCAGCAGGAACGAAUAAAUGACGGUACCUGCAGAGGAAGCAUCGGCUAACUACGUGCCAGCAGCCGCGGUAAGACGUAGGAUGCGAGCGUUGUCCGGAUUCAUUGGGCGUAAAGAGUUCGUAGGCGGUUUGUUAAGUCUGAUGUUAAAGAUCAGGGCCCAACCCUGGGAGUGCAUUGGAUACUGGCAGACUUGAGUACAGUAGAGGCGAGUGGAAUUCCCAGUGUAGCGGUGAAAUGCGUAGA